rnacentral:rRNA from 1 species
CGGGGCCUACGGGACGCAGCAGUGGGGAAUAUUGGACAAUGGGGGAAACCCUGAUCCAGCGACGCCGCGUGAGUGAAGAAGUAUUUCGGUACGUAAAGCUCUAUCAGCAGGAAAGAAAAUGACGGUACCUGACUAAGAAGCCCCGGCUAACUACGUGCCAGCAGCCGCGGUAAUACGUAGGGGGCAAGCGUUAUCCGGAUUUACUGGGUGUAAGGGGAGCGUAGACGGUGC